rnacentral:rRNA from 1 species
CACGUAGUUAGCCGGUGCUUAUUCUUUAGGUACCGUCAGCAAAAAGUGGUAUUAGCACUUCCCUUUUCUUCCCUAACAAAAGUCCUUUACAACCCGAAGGCCUUCUUCAGACACGCGGCAUGGCUGGAUCAGGGUUGCCCCCCAUUGUCCAAAAUUCCCCACUGCUGCCUCCCGUAGGAGUCUGGGCCGUGUCUCAGUCCCAGUGUGGCGGAUCAUCCUCUCAGACCCGCUACUGAUCGUCGCCUUGGUGGGCCUUUACCCCACCAACUAGCUAAUCAGAUAUUGGCUGCUCAAAUAGCGCAAGGUCCGAAGAUCCCCCUGCUUUCCCCCCUCAGGACGUAUGCGGUAUUAGCCAAUCUUUCGAUUGGUUAUCCCCCACUACUCGGUACAUUCCAAUAUGUUACUCACCCGUUCGCCACUCGCCGGCAGGUGCAAGCACCCCCGCUGCCGUCCGACUUGCGUGUGUAAAGCAUGCCGCCAGCGUUCAAUCUGAGCCAGGAUCAAACUC